AUUGAACGCUGGCGGCAUGCCUUACACAUGCAAGUCGAACGGUAACGCGGGGGCAACCCUGCGGCGAGUGGCGAACGGGUGAGUAAUACAUCGGAACGUGUCCUGUUGUGGGGGAUAACCCAUCGAAAGGUGAGCUAAUACCGCAUGAUCUGGAGACAGCAAAAGCAGGGGACCGGAAACGGCCUUGCGCGAUUGGAGCGGCCGAUGUCCGACUAGCUAGUUGCGGGUAAGGCCACCAAGGCACGAUCGGUAGCUGGCUGAGAGGAUGAUCAGCCACACUGGGACUGAGACACGGCCCAGACUCCUAC
rnacentral:rRNA from 1 species